UGGGGAAUUUUGGACAAUGGGCGCAAGCCUGAUCCAGCCAUGCCGCGUGCGGGAAGAAGGCCUUCGGGUUGUAAACCGCUUUUGUCAGGGAAGAAAUCUUCUGAGUUAAUACCUCGGGAGGAUGACGGUACCUGAAGAAUAGGCACCGGCUAACUACGUGCCAGCAGCCGCGGUAAUACGUAGGGUGCAAGCGUUAAUCGGAAUUACUGGGCGUAAAGCGUGCGCAGGCGGUUUUGUAAGACAGAGGUGAAAUCCCCGGGCUCAACCUGGGAACUGCCUUUGUGACUGCAAGGCUUGAGUGCGGCAGAGGGGGAUGGAAUUCCGCGUGUAGCAGUGAAAUGCGUAGAUAUGCGGAGGAACACCGAUGGCGAAGGCAAUCCCCUGGGCCUGCACUGACGCUCAUGCACGAAAGCGUGGGGAGCAAACAGGAUUAGAUACCCUGGUAGUCCACGCCCUAAACGAUGUCAACUGGUUGUUGGGAAGGUUCCUUCUCAGUAACGUAGCUAACGCGUGAAGUUGACCGCCUGGGGAGUACGGCCGCAAGGUUG
rnacentral:rRNA from 1 species